rnacentral:lncRNA from 1 species
AGCUUUUUACCAACUCAAGAACACCACUUAAAAUUUAAUAACAAAGAGAUAAAAACACAAGUAUUUUUAUACUGGUUCGCUUGAAACUCAAAGUUACUCCAGUCCAUCCGCCAAGGUGAUUUCUCCUUAUACAUAAGAACUUAAUCCACUAUAAUUAACUGGUUACAAUAAUCACAAAGAAUAACCUUCUUUGUCUUCUUAAGGAUCCGACUAUACCAUAGUCUCCUUAAGGACUCACAAAGAAUAACCUUCUUUAUCU